CCUGGAGGACUUUCUGAUGGGUGAAAUAAACCAGUCCCAGAAGGACAAAUACUGCAUGAUUCCACUUAUAAGAGACCCUGCGAUGUAAUAUUAAAAAGAUUCCUGAGCUCCAGCACAGAACAGAUUUGUGUGCUGUGUUUGGAGUUAUGGGAGCUAUACAAAAGUGUAAGGUUCCAUCCCUGUUCUAGAGGAGUUUGUUGCCACAUUAGGAAGAAGGAACAUAUGCACACGAAAAGUAAAAUUACAAAAUAGGAUGUGUCUGGAACAGCAAAAACUUGGUAAGGAAAUCAGAGGAAUUCUUCAUGUGGGGCUGGCAUACUGUUGAGGCCUAAAUAGAGAUUUCUAGAAGAUUUUGAUAGAGG
rnacentral:lncRNA from 1 species